GGAAGGUAGAAUUCCCCGGUGUAGCGGUGAAAUGCGUAGAGAUCGGGAGGAAUACCAGUGGCGAAGGCGGCCUUCUGGACUGACACUGACGCUGAGGUGCGAAAGCGUGGGUAGCAAACAGGAUUAGAUACCCUGGUAGUCCACGCCGUAAACGAUGUCGACUAGCCGUUGGGGUCCUCGAGACCUUUGUGGCGCAGUUAACGCGAUAAGUCGACCGCCUGGGGAGUACGGCCGCAAGGUUAAAACUCAAAUGAAUUGACGGGGGCCCGCACAAGCGGUGGAGCAUGUGGUUUAAUUCGAUGCAACGCGAAGAACCUUACCUACUCUUGACAUCGAGCGAACUUUCCAGAGAUGGAUUGGUGCCUUCGGGAACGCUCAGACAGGUGCUGCAUGGCCGUCGUCAGCUCGUGUUGUGAAAUGUUGGGUUAAGUCCCGUAACGAGCGCAACCCUUGUCCCUAUUUGCCAGCGAUUCGGUCGGGAACUCUAGGGAGACUGCCGGUGACAAACCGGAGGAAGGUGGGGACGACGUCAGGUCAUCAUGGCCCUUACGAGUAGGGCUACACACGUGCUACAAUGGCCGGUACAAUGGGCUGCAAUCCCGCGAGGGGGAGCUAAUCUCAUAAAGCCGGUCUCAGUCCGGAUCGGAGUCUGCAACUCGACUCCGUGAAGUCGGAAUCGCUAGUAAUCGUGCAUCAGAAUGGCACGGUGAAUACGUUCCCGGGCCUUGUACACACCGCCCGUCACACCAUGGGAGUGGACUGCACCAGAAGUGGUUAGCCUA
rnacentral:rRNA from 1 species